rnacentral:rRNA from 1 species
UACGUAGGGGGCAAGCGUUAUCCGGAUUUACUGGGUGUAAAGGGAGCGCAGGCGGCACGGCAAGCCUGAUGUGAAAGCCCGCGGCCCAACCGCGGGACUGCAUUGGGAACUACCGGGCUGGAGUGCCGGAGAGGUAGGCGGAGUUCCUAGUGUAGCGGUGAAAUGCGUAGAUAUUAGGAGGAACACCAGUGGCGAAGGCGGCCUACUGGGCGGUGACUGACGCUGAGGCUCGAAAGCGUGGGGAGCAAACAGG